GCUUGAUUUACAUUAUUCUUCUUUGAAAAGAGAGUAAGUUUUUAUUAACUAACAUCGUCAGCAUCUUUUCUAAGAAAGUCUUGAAGCAUAGAAACCCACCCCUGAAGAUACAGAACAGGCAGAUCUCACCCUUAAAUAUUGUCACAAUGAAGAUGAUGAUAUCAGCAUAUGAAUUUUGAGUGAUAACAAUACAAUCAAUCACAAGAGGAAAGAAUUGAAUGCUCACAAUCAUAGGGAAUGUUACAGAAGAGGUGAGAUGAGCUUGGUCUCAGAGUAAGCAUGGGGGUGACUAGUGAAGAAA
rnacentral:lncRNA from 1 species